CAGUCGCCACGGGAAUACGUAGGUGGCAAGCGUUGUCCGGAAUUAUUGGGCGUAAAGGGCUCGCAGGCGGUUUCUUAAGUCUGAUGUGAAAGCCCCCGGCUCAACCGGGGAGGGUCAUUGGAAACUGGGAAACUUGAGUGCAGAAGAGGAGAGUGGAAUUCCACGUGUAGCGGUGAAAUGCGUAGAGAUGUGGAGGGACACCAGUGGCGAAGGCGACUCUCUGGUCUGUAACUGACGCUGAGGAGCGAAAGCGUGGGGAGCGAACAGGAUUAGAGACCCCCGUAGUCCCUGUCUCUUAUAC
rnacentral:rRNA from 1 species